rnacentral:rRNA from 1 species
UACGUAGGGUGCAAGCGUUAAUCGGAAUUACUGGGCGUAAAGCGGGCGCAGGCGGUGAGGUAAGACAGUUGUGAAAUCCCCGGGCUCAACCUGGGAACUGCAUCUGUGACUGCAUUGCUGGAGUGCGGCAGAGGGGGAUGGAAUUCCGCGUGUAGCAGUGAAAUGCGUAGAUAUGCGGAGGAACACCGCUGGCGAAGGCAAUCCCCUGGGCCUGCACUGACGCUCAUGCACGAAAGCGUGGGGAGCAAACAGG